rfam:Picea glauca, whole genome shotgun sequence.
GGGUGCGAUCAUACCAGUGUUAAUGCACCACAUCCCAUUAGAACUCCGCAGUUAAGUGCGCUUGGGCCAGGGUAGUACUGGGAUGGGUGACCUCCCGAGAAGUCCCGGUGUUGCACCCU